rnacentral:rRNA from 1 species
UAGAUACCCCACUAUGCCUAAAAGUAACAAGGCAACAAAAACAACACAAGUUGCUCGCCAAACCACUACGAGUGAAAACUUAAAAUUUAAAAGACUUGACGGUACUUCACCCAACCUAGAGGAGCCUGUCUAAUAACCGAUAACCCACGAUCAACCCAACCGCCACUAGCCACUCAGCCUAUAUACCGCCGUCGCCAGCCCACCUUGUGAAAGAAACCAAGUGAGCACAAUAGUCCCACACUAACACGACAGGUCGAGGUGUAGCUUAUGGGGCGGACAAAGAUGGGCUACAUUAUCUAAACCAGAUAAAACGGAAAAAGCCGUGAAAACAAGCCUUAUGAAGGAGGAUUUAGCAGUAAGAUGAGGACAUAAUACUCAACUGAAAACAAAGAAAUGAAGUGCGUACACACCGCCCGUCACC